AUUGAACGCUGGCGGCAUGCUUUACACAUGCAAGUCGAACGGUAACAGGUUAAGCUGACGAGUGGCGAACGGGUGAGUAAUGCAUCGGAACGUGCCCGAUCGUGGGGGAUAACGCAGCGAAAGCUGCGCUAAUACCGCAUACGAUCUGAGGAUGAAAGCGGGGGACCGUAAGGCCUCGCGCGAUCGGAGCGGCCGAGGUCAGAGUAGGUAGGUGGUGGGGUAAAGGCUCACCAAACCGACGAUCUGUAGCUGGUCUGAGAGGACGACCAGCCCAACUGGGACUGAGACACGGCCCGUACUCCGACGGGAGGCAGCAGUGGGGAAUUUUGGACAAUGGGCGAAAGACUGAUCCAGCAAUGCCGCGUGCAGGAAGAAGGCCUUCGGGUUGUAACCUGCUUUUGUACGGAGCGAAAAGGCUCUCUCUAAUACAGGGGGCUCAUGACGGUACCGUACGAAUAAGCACCGGCUAACUACGUGCCAGCCGCCGCCUAA
rnacentral:rRNA from 1 species